UUUGUCUGCUACCGGCUGAAACAAUGGGCAUGUUGUGUGCGCAUUGCUCUGCUCCAUCCACUGGUGCAUACUUUCACAUAAACAACUGCAAACAAGCUAAACUAACAACUGUGGGGAGAAAUGUGAUGCCCACUAAGUGCAAAAUAUACAACCGAAUGGGGGAAAGUAAAACUGUAAUUAAAGAAUCGAUAGAAUGCGUGGCUGGGGAUGAUACAAAAACGUUUCUUCAGUAAUGCAAAUUAAUGAUGACAAACUUGAAACACUGUUUUGAAACAUCUCAA